rnacentral:rRNA from 1 species
AAGGCGGUGACGGGUAGCCGGCCUGAGAGGGUGGACGGUCACACUGGAACUGAGACACGGCCCAGACUCCUACGGGAGGCAGCAGUGGGAAAUAUGCACAAUGGGCGCAAGCCUGAUGCAGCGACGCCGCGUGAGGGAUGGAGACCUUCGGGUUGUGAACCUCUUUCGCCAGUGAAGCAGGCCUGCUCCUUGUGGGUGGGUUGACGGUAGCUGGAUAAGAAGCGCCGGCUAACUACGUGCCAGCAGCCGCGGUAAUACGUAGGGCGCGAGCGUUGUCCGGAAUUAUUGGGCGUAAAGAGCUCGUAGGCGGCUGGUCGCGUCUGUCGUGAACUCCUCUGGCUUAACUGGGGGCUUGCGUUGGGUACGGGCCGGCCCGAGUGCGGUAGGGGAGACUGGAACUCCUGGUGUAGCGGUGGAAUGCGCAGAUAUCAGGAAGAACACCGGUGGCGAAGGCGGGUCCCUGGGCCGUUACUGACGCUGAGGAGCGAAAGCGUGGGGAGCGAACAGGAUUAGAUACCCUGGUAGUCCACGCCGUAAACGUUGGGCACUAGGUGUGGGGGGCCUUUUCCGGGUCUUCCCCCCCGUAGCUAACGCAUUAAGUGCCCCGCCUGGGGAGUACGGCCGCAAGGCUAAAACUCAAAGGAAUUGACGGGGGCCCGCACAAGCGGCGGAGCAUGCGGAUUAAUUCGAUGCAACACGAAGAACCUUACCAAGGCUUGACAUGUGCCGGAUGGUA